UUCCUCAGUGCGGAUUUGUAUUUUAACAGAUAAGCUGCACAUUUCAUUUGAAAAUAACGAUGAAGAAUUUGCAAGCUUCAUGUCUGUGUUUCUUGUUACUCGGCUGGAGAGCCGGGUGUGGUUUCUUGCAGUACUCGUCUCUGGGAGAGACUGUUACCCUGCCUUGUGCAGGAUUCCAGAAAUAUGAAGACUCAUUCAUUCAUUGGACCUUUAGUCAAAGAUAUGAAACAUCUUCGGAGCUGGCCUCGGGUGGGAAGAUUACAGUCAAACAGCCAGAGAGAGCUGCAAGACUGGAGGUGCUGCCUGACUCGUCUCUGCGGAUACACCACCUGCACACAGAGGAUGCGGGCCGGUAUGACUGUGAACAAUAUGUAAAUGGGGACUUUUAUCCAGGAGGAGCUAUUGUUUUUCUGACCCUGCUCACCAUUACAGCUGUCCCAGGUGCAGACUUAAUGAGAGGCAUCGAUUUAGCUCUACAGUGCACCCUGGUGUGUAAUGGUGGUAUUGCAGACUGCAGGUCAGUUCCUGACAAUGUUAAACUGACCUGGGUGGAUGAUAAAGGCACAGCCCUGCAGGGAGACAGGUUCAAGAUCACUUCCUACAGAAAACAUUCCACUCUGUCCCUGAAGCUGCAGAAAUCAGACCACAACAGGAGAUGGAGAUGCGACCUAACUGAGGGGGGUGCAGUAAAGGCUUUGUAUAGCUACACCACUACACUUACAGGUGAAGAUGUGUACUCCACUGUGGGAGGAUUCAUUCACUUCCCCUGUGCAAAUACUGCUCAGCCAGAGGCAGGGCAGCAAUUAAUUUGGUCCUUUCAGAGAUCUGGGACCAAGAGUUGGAAGACUCUAUUCACAUUCCGACCCAGUGGGAAUGUACUCACCAAUGCUGAAGAGGUAGACAAGAACAGACUGGCAAUGGCAGUCAAUACUUCCUUGCUGAUCCGCAGUGUCCAGACAGCAGACAGUGGGCUCUAUCGGUGUUCACAGCACAAGGAUUCUAACCUUCAGAAACACCUUCAGGUGUUGGCUCUGAACGUACUCUCUGGGAGUGCUGACCGGAUUUCACCCUUGCAGGCAGGCUCCAACGCCACCCUGACAUGCUCCUUGACCUGUGGGUUUGUAUGUCCACCAGCCAAGCUGCUCUGGAGUGACAGUAAUGGAAGCAGCCUGCAGGGCGGCGCUAGAGAGGGUUUUCUGAUCCGAUCGAACAUCACUAGCUCCCAGCUGUUUGUCACUGGCCUGCAGAGCUCUGAGCAGAUCAGGUGCAGUGUGGAGGAGGAGGGGAAGCAGAGAGUCUACCUGCAGUAUCUCAUUCAAGUAACUGCACCAGUUCUCGAUCCUGGACCAGAGCUUCCGUAUGCUCAGUACGUCUCAGAGGGCAGAACUGAGGGAACAGCAGAAUGUUAUCUUAUAGGGCCAGCAAUCCCCCCAAGACCCGCCUCUCAGCCACUCAGAGAGAAGGAAAGCCCGCACACCCACUCUCCCACCUCUCCAUUUCACUGUCAUGACUGACAGGCGAAUAUUGACGGGCUGCUGCCCUCUUCCUGCAGUACUUCGAACACAUCAGAAGAGUCAGUACAGUUAUAAAGAGAGAUUUAUUACACACUGAGCCAUGCAUCAUUUGCAAAAGAGAAGCAGGAAAUGUGUUAACAAUUUACAGUUUAUUUAUUCAACAAGAUUUUACCCAUUUACCUGUUAUCUUUACAACAGACACCAAUAACUUGAAUUCCAGGGUCAAUCUGAACAUGAGUGGCCUAAUGAUAAUGAACUGUGAAAAAAUGUAAUAAACUAACAGACACCCAGACAGAAUGAUACUGUAGUGUCAAACUGAACAGGAUCGCAAGACACUGUCUGUCUGAAGCUUUAAUAAAACAAAACUAUAAAAAAAUUAGUAAACUAACACAGAAACCCAGACGGAAUGACAUUGUUAUUAUUAUUUGUUUAUUUAGCAGACACCUUUAUCCAAGGCGACUUACAGAGACUAGGGUGUGUGAACUAUGUAUCAGCUGCAGAGUCACUUACAACUACGUCUCACCGGAAAGACGGAGCACAAGGAGGUUAAGUGACUUGCUCAGGGUCACACAAUAAGUCAGUGGCAGAGGUGGGAUUCAAACCAGGGACCUCCUGGUUGCAAGCCCUUUUCUUUAACCACUGGACCACACAGCCUCCACACAGCCUUGUGUCAGACGAAACAGCAUUGUGUGGGCACUGUCUGUCUGCUAAAGCUGGUGCUUUAAUGAAACUAAACUCCAGGAGAAUGUCGUUAAACAAACAGCAAAAAGGGGUUAUACUGUAUCGCUAAACCAAACGGGUGGGGGUGAGCUGUCUGUCUGUCUGUCUGCAGCUCUAAUGGACUGAUUGUUUUUCUCUCACUCCUCAAAGAAAAUCUGGUAUUGAUUGCAACAGCUUCAGCAGCGGCCAUCGCUCUCCUCAUAGUUUUGAUCCUCGCAGUUACAUUCUGUAUUUGGAAGAGGAAGAGAUCAGAUUCAGAUAACCACGUCCAGGUUGAAUAUUUAACGAA